rnacentral:other from 1 species
CGGUACCGUCAAAUGGUUCAACGACGCCAAGGGUUUUGGCUUCAUCACGGCUGAUUCGGGCGGCGACGACCUGUUCGCCCACUUCUCCGAAAUCCGUGUCGACGGAUUCAAGACCCUGCAGGAAAACCAGAAGGUUCGUUUCGAAGUCACCGUCGGCCCCAAGGGUCGCCAGGCUUCCAACAUCCAGCCCGUAUAAGCUAUAAUCAGCUUAUCCGCUAGAACCCCCGCUUGCGGGGGUUUUUUG